rnacentral:rRNA from 1 species
UACGUAGGGGGCAAGCGUUGUCCGGAAUUAUUGGGCGUAAAGGGCGCGUAGGCGGAUUUUUAAGUCUGGUGUGAAAGAUCAGGGCUCAACCCUGAGAGUGCAUCGGAAACUGGAGAUCUUGAGGACAGGAGAGGAAAGUGGAAUUCCACGUGUAGCGGUGAAAUGCGUAGAUAUGUGGAGGAACACCAGUGGCGAAGGCGACUUUCUGGCCUAGAACUGACGCUGAAGCGCGAAAGCGUGGGGAGCGAACAGGAUUAGAAACCCCGGUA